rnacentral:rRNA from 1 species
AUUGAACGCUGGCGGCAUGGCUAAAACAUGCAAGUCGAACGUGCCCGCAAGGGCAAGUGGCGAAAGGGUCAGUAACGCGAUCGAAUGUACCUAUGGGUUGAGGAUAGCCGUGGGAAACUGCGGGUAAUACUCGAUGAUGUCUCCGGACCAAAGAUUUAUCGCCCUAAGAGCAGCGAUCGUCCUAUCAGGUAGUUGGCGGGGUAAAGGCCCACCAAGCCUAAGACGGGUAGCAGGUGUGAGAGCACGACCUGCGACAUCGGGACUGAGACACUGCCCGGACUCCUACGGGAGGCUGCAGUAACGAAUCUUCCGCAAUGGGCGCAAGCCUGACGGAGCAAUGCCGCGUGUGGGAUGAAGCGGCUACGCCGUGUAAACCACUGUCAGGGACUAGAACCAAUGAUCAGUCCCAAAGGAAGAGCCGGCUAACCCUGUG